UGGUGGAAGCUAUAGGGCUAUAGAGGAUGAGGAAUAUGUUGCACUUCCGCACACGUGCACGCGCGCGUAGCGUGUGCACGAAGUGUACGUGUUCUUGAUGCGUGCUAGCGUUCUGCGACCAUAAAUAAAAGGCAUUAUGACGAACACAUUGCGAAAAGGCCCUGGCAUAUGCGUACGUAAAACUUUCACAGCAUGCCCCCAUAAUGUCCCUCGCGGACUUGGGCAUGAAGGAAUGUCCACAGGACACGGAAAAUGUGGCCAAACAGUCAUGUCAGCGACGUCCGCAGAAAAUAUUCGACAUAUCCCUAGAAUAUCCAUGUUUUGGCAGUGGGAAUCCUAUCGGUGGAUAUCUUGUGAAUAUGCAGGACCUGCCCAGAUUCCUCCAGGUGAUGCUAUCUAGUUAAAGCGUGCCACCAUGACGUCCUUCAUGGCCGAGUGUGCAAGUCUGGCAUGUAGAGGUUUAGAGAUUUCCCAAAUAAUUCGCUCAACAUCUCAUUCACGGCUCUCUUGAUAGAGCGACCCUACCCACAGCAAGCAACGGGCUUUCCGAAAUAGAAACCACUAAAAAGCAAGCAUUCAGAAUGUACAGCCAGAAGUAGCCGGUACAAGCCGAGCUACGAGGCUCCGGCUCCGGGCUGUUCACGUGACCAAUCCCUACUUGUCAACUCUCUUUGCCGAGCGUGGUCGCAUCGUUUCGUGCGGUACGUGCCAGCAAUGAGGGCCAAGUGGCGUAAGAAGCGGAUGCGAAGGUUGAAGCGCAAGCGCAGGAAGAUGCGUGAGAGGUCCAAGUAGGCCGGACCCACGGGUGGCGAAUGACAAGCCCAGCUGUUGGCAGAGGGAGUGUGUCCCAAGACGCCGCCUUCACCUUCCUGGCUUGGCUGCACCACUAUCGCCUGGCUCCUGCAUCGGAUGGUGCCCUUGCUCUUACAUGACGGACCCAAGCUCUCGAAGUGCGCAAGGCACGCCUCUGGACAUUGGAUCAUCACUUUCGCCUCCAUUAAACACUCAUCCCACAAUGA